rnacentral:rRNA from 1 species
AGUGAACGCUGGCGGUAGGCCUAACACAUGCAAGUCGAACGGCAGCACAGUAAGAGCUUGCUCUUACGGGUGGCGAGUGGCGGACGGGUGAGGAAUACAUCGGAAUCUACUUUUUCGUGGGGGAUAACGUAGGGAAACUUACGCUAAUACCGCAUACGACCUACGGGUGAAAGCAGGGGAUCUUCGGACCUUGCGCGAUUGAAUGAGCCGAUGUCGGAUUAGCUAGUUGGCGGGGUAAAGGCCCACCAAGGCGACGAUCCGUAGCUGGUCUGAGAGGAUGAUCAGCCACACGGGAACUGAGACACGGCCGAGACUCCUACGGGAGGCAGCAGUGGGGAAUAUUGGACAAUGGGGGCAAGCCUGAUCCAGCAAUACCGCGUGAGUGAAGAAGGCCUUCGGGUUGUAAAGCCCUUUUGUUGGGAAAGAAAAGCAGCAGGUUAAUACCCCGCUGUUCUGACGGUACCCAAAGAAUAAGCACCGGCUAACUUCGUG